rnacentral:rRNA from 1 species
UACGAAGGGGGCUAGCGUUGCUCGGAAUCACUGGGCGUAAAGGGUGCGUAGGCGGGUCUUUAAGUCAGGGGGGAAAUCCUGGAGCUCAACUCCAGAACUGCCUUUGAUACUGAAGAUCUUGAGUUCGGGAGAGGUGAGUGGAACUGCGAGUGUAGAGGUGAAAUUCGUAGAUAUUGGCAAGAACACCAGUGGCGAAGGCGGCUCACUGGCCCGAUACUGACGCUGAGGCACGAAAGCGUGGGGAGCAAACAGG